UGUUCAAUCAUUCGAAAAUGACAUGGCUACUGACGGCGGUUCCGCCGCUAUCCCUCUCCCCGCCGUGAUGAAAGCUCCGAUCCGUCCUGACGUUGUAACCUACGUCCACGCCAAUAUUUCCAAAAAUGCACGACAACCUUACGCCGUUUCGAGAAAGGCUGGUCAUCAGACCUCUGCUGAGUCAUGGGGUACUGGUCGUGCUGUAUCUCGUAUCCCCCGUGUUGCUGGUGGUGGAACUCACCGUGCUGGACAAGCUGCUUUUGGUAAUAUGUGUCGUGGUGGUCGUAUGUUUGCUCCUACACAGAUCUGGCGCCGUUGGCAUAGAAAGAUUCCGGUUAAUCAGAAGCGUUAUGCGGUAGUUUCAGCUAUUGCUGCUUCCUCAGUUCCUUCACUGGUUCUUGCCCGAGGACAUCGUAUUGAAUCAGUGCCAGAGUUACCUCUGGUUGUUUCUGAUUCGGUUGAGGGAAUUGAGAAGACUUCUAAUGCUAUCAAGGCACUAAAGCAAGUGGGUGCUUAUCCUGAUGCCGAGAAGGCGAAGGAUAGCCAUGCUAUUCGUACAGGGAAGGGUAAGAUGAGGAAUCGUCGAUACAUUUCCCGUAAAGGUCCAUUGAUUGUGUAUGGAACUGAAGGGGCUAAGUUGGUUAAAGCCUUCCGCAAUAUUCCUGGAGUAGAAAUUUGCCAUGUUGAGCGUUUGAAUCUCUUGAAGCUUGCUCCU
rnacentral:misc_RNA from 1 species